GUCCUUACUUUGGCAGCACAAAUACUAAAAUUUGAACAAUACAGAGAAGAUUAACAUGGUUGCUGCACAAGAAUGGCACACAAAUUCACGAAGCAUUCCAUAUUUUU
ensembl:snRNA U6 U6 spliceosomal RNA